AGUGAACGCUGGCGGUAGGCCUAACACAUGCAAGUCGAACGGCAGCACAGUAAGAGCUUGCUCUUACGGGUGGCGAGUGGCGUACGGGUGAGGAAUACAUCGGAAUCUACUUUUUCGUGGGGGAUAACGUAGGUAAACUUACGCUAAUACCGCAUACGACCUACGGGUGAAAGCAGGGGAUCUUCGGACCUUGCGCGAUUGAAUGAGCCGAUGUCGGAUUAGCUAGUUGGCGGGGUAAAGGCCCACCAAGGCGACGAUCCGUAGCUGGUCUGAGAGGAUGAUCAGCCACACUGGAACUGAGACACGGUCCAGACUCCUAAGAGAGGCAGCAGUGGGGAAUAGUGGACAAUGGGCGCAAGCAUGAUCCAGCCAGACCGCGUGGGUGAAGAAGGCCUUGGGGUUGUAAAGACCUUUUGUUGGGAAAGAAAAGCAGCAGGUUAAUACCCCGCUGUUCUGACGGUACCCAAAGAAUAAGCACCGGCUAACUUCGUG
rnacentral:rRNA from 1 species